UGGUUUUAAAAACUUGUGGGUUCUGAAAUA
rnacentral:piRNA from 1 species